UGCCUACGGGGGGCAGCAGUGGGGAAUAUUGGGCAAUGGGCGCAAGCCUGACCCAGCAACGCCGCGUGAAGGAAGAAGGCUUUCGGGUUGUAAACUUCUCUUCUCAGGGACGAAUAGAUGACGGUACCUGAGGAAUAAGCCACGGCUAACUACGUGCCAGCAGCCGCGGUAAUACGUAGGUGGCAAGCGUUAUCCGGAUUUACUGGGUGUAAAGGGCGUGCAGCCGGGAAGACAAGUCAGAUGUGAAAUCCCGCGGCUCAACCGCGGAACUGCAUUUGAAACUGUUUUUCUUGAGUACCGGAGAG
rnacentral:rRNA from 1 species